ACUUGGAGGUGCUUUCCUUUGGAUGUUUCUGGAAAGCACUGAUCCUUAGAAAAGGGUGAAUGUACAUUUAAAAUGCACGAUUGAUUAUUUAAGGAAUCUGUGAGACUUCUGGAUUCUGUACACAGAAUGAGAAAGUGGAAAAGCAACUAUUGCAUAUACAUCCCAUUUUACCCUCCAGAGCUCUCCCAUUGAUUCAAGGAAAACUGAUUGAAGAAAAUGUACUCAUUAUGCAUGGACAAAGCUUGUAGAAAGAAAUAAUAGGCUCUUGAACAGCUGAGAAGGAAGUUCUAACCUCAGAGUACCACGAGAGGUUUUUUGAGGCAACCUCAUUAUCCUUCUAAGGCUGGAACUGCAACCAGGAGUGUUGAUCCUUUCAUCUUGCAACAUGUAAGCUAUCAAGAGCUCUGCAAAUACUUGAGACCAAACUGACCUUUGGCCUUGGAAAAGCCUGAGUUCUGGGCUUGCUUGAUUGUGGAGAGAUUGGAAAUGUAGGAGAAAAGGAAACACUGGUUUGAUAGGUCACUCUGUCAUUUUACCUUCUGAAGAUCACCUUGGAAAGAACAAUCAAGCAAACAACUGGUCUGGGAGAAGCAAGUGCUAAAGCUGUGUACUUUUUAAACUGUGAGGAGAGAAUUUAUGUGAACUUUUAUUUAUUACUUAUCACCUAAGUCUUGGAGGUGAUUUGAAGCAGAAGGAAGAGGAAGGAAAAAAAAUAAAGAGGGAUUAUUUGAAGGUGAUGGAGUUUCUGAACCUGAUUAGAGAGUGUUCUCUUGCUGCCAACUCAUACAGGAUCUUUGUCUCCUUCUUUGCUGUUUCAGAAGAUGCUGUUCCAGAGACAAGGAGGCAGUAGGAAAAAGGAAUCUUAUUGAUGAAGAUGUCCUUAGCAGAGAAGAGGCUGUAUUCCCCAAAGAAAGAGUACAACCUUAUUUUAAGAAGGAUGAUGAUUUUUCCUCUUGGACCAUGUAAGAAUAACUCAAAGAGAAAAGUGUUGGAGGGGAGAAUUUUGCAUCGUUUGCAUGUAUUUCUUUUUUGGGCUGCUGUAAUCUCUGUAAAUAUUUAUGAAAGGUCCUAGGUUGGGCAGUGAUAAAGGAAUGUGCUUUCCAGAGCAUCACUGCUUAUCUGAGCAAAAGUAUAUUUUUGUUUGCCAUGUAAUUUUUAGUGAUUAAAAUGUAAUUACUGACUAAAUAAGUAAGAGCAAAGCAGAAAUC
rnacentral:lncRNA from 7 species